rnacentral:rRNA from 1 species
UCCAGACUCCUACGGGAGGCAGCAGUGGGGGAUAUUGCACAAUGGGGGGAACCCUGAUGCAGCGACGCCGCGUGGGUGAAGGAGCGUUUCGGCGCGUAAAGCCCUAUCGGCAGGGAAGAAGGAGGACGGUACCUGACUAAGAAGCCCCGGCUAACUACGUGCCAGCAGCCGCGGUAAUACGUAGGGGGCAAGCGUUAUCCGGAUUUACUGGGUGUAAAGGGGGCGCAGACGGCAGCGCAAGCCAGGAGUGAAAGCCCGGGGCCCAACCCCGGGACUGCUCUUGGAACUGCGCGGCUGGAGUGCAGGAGGGGCAGGCGGAAUUCCUGGUGUAGCGGUGAAAUGCGUAGAUAUCAGGAGGAACACCGGUGGCGAAGGCGGCCUGCUGGACUGCAACUGACGUUGAGGCCCGAAAGCGUGGGGAGCAAACAGGAUUAGAUACCCCCGUAA